rnacentral:tRNA from 1 species
GCAUCAGUGGUUCAGUGGUGGAAUGCUCGCCUUUCAUGCAGGAGACCUGGUUCAAUUCCUGGCCAAUGCG